ACGAGUCGAAAAGGCGAAACAAAUUGUAGCUAAUUAAUACGUAUAUUCCUGUGAUUUCAAAUACUUUACUUUUUGAUUUUCAUGUAACAUAGUUAUUCUUGUUCAUGAAGCAUAGGACUUUUCUGAAUCUCACAAUUUUGGUGGUGUAACCUGCAACACCAUGUUUGUUGUAAUGGCUGUUUCUGCUUCUGUUUAGAAGGCAACCCAGCUAGUUUCAGAGACAUGAAGCAUGUGAAGUGAAUAACCUGCAAUGUGUAUGCACAUGUACCGGAUCUGCUUGAUGAAAGUCAAAUGCUUUACUAAAUUCAUCACCCAUAUGAUAAAGCAUCAGGAAAUUUAUCUCAACAUGAUGGAGUAAUGCUG